AACAGACCAGAAAGAAACAAGCUCACACAUGCCUGGGAUUAUUCACCACUCUCACAGGAACUGGUUCCUGUCAGCCUUUAGCUGCUACAUCACAGGUGCACAGUGGUUUGAAUGGCCAAGCAGGCAGCAUCAUUGUCUGGAGGUUAGGCAGCAGUUCCUCCAUCACCAGAUUGCUCAGGAUCUGUAUGGUCAGAAGAUGAAAAUGACAAGUUCACACCCUGUUCAUUACCUGAAGGCUGAGCACUGCAGCACAGAGUGAUGUGUGCAGGCAUCACACAGUGGCUCAGCUUCCCUCCCAGCUGCCAGGAAUCACCCACAGAGGCUUUGCACUCCCUCUGCCUAGAUUUGAACUGCAACUUCUUCCUUACCUGUCCAACUUAAAUGCACCAAAUAAAUAUGCAAGACUCAAUA